AUGGAUUAAAGGCUCGACGUUGCUACCAUUGUGGGCGUAUGUGUCGUUGGGCAAGCCACCUAACGGACAUUGCUCCAACCCAGCGGUCACUAAUGGGUUGUCCAAAUUAACAGUCAUAUACA